AUUGAACGCUGGCGGCAGGCCUAACACAUGCCAGUCGAACGGUAACAGGAAGCAGCUUGCUGCUUCGCUGACGAGUGGCGGACGGGUGAGUAAUGUCUGGGAAACUGCCUGAUGGAGGGGGAUAACUACUGGAAACGGUAGCUAAUACCGCAUAACGUCGCAAGACCAAAGAGGGGGACCUUAGGGCCUCUUGCCAUCGGAUGUGCCCAGAUGGGAUUAGCUAGUAGGUGGGGUAACGGCUCACCUAGGCGACGAUCCCUAGCUGGUCUGAGAGGAUGACCAGCCACACUGGAACUGGGACACGGUCCAGACUCCUACGGGAGGCAGCAGUGGGGAAUAUUGCACAAUGGGCGCAAGCCUGAUGCAGCCAUGCCGCGUGUAUGAAGAAGGCCUUCGGGUUGUAAAGUACUUUCAGCGGGGAGGAAGGGAGUAAAGUUAAUACCUUUGCUCAUUGACGUUACCCGCAGAAGAAGCACCGGCUAACUCCGUG
rnacentral:rRNA from 1 species